CCGCGGGGGAGCAGAAGAAGGUGAGGGGCGGGGCGGCGCGGCGGAGCAGGAGAGAUUGAGGGGCGGGGCGGCGCGGCGGAGCAGGAGAGAUUGUGGGGCGGGGCGGCGGAGCAGUUGAGAGUUAGGGGCGGGCAAAGCUCGUACGCCACGGCGAGCGCCUCGCCGCGCGUCCCGUCGAGGCACGACAACCGCGGGAGGCAGAACGGCAUGCUGGCCGGACCCAACGCCGGCGGGUGCGCCAGGGCCAGCCGGUUCGCCAGGCCCUGCACGAGCACGACGCGACGCGCUGGAACGCCUUGCUGUGCACGGGCGCGCCGACCUGCAGCUCAGGCAGCAGCGCAGCGGCCUGGGCGCGGUCGUGGCACACCACCGCCUCGGCGCAGGCGACCAGCCGCUGCACGAGCCGCAUGCCAUCAGCUCCUCUGCCACCACCACUCACUGCUCCCGUUUCGUGAUUUGGAUGGACAAUUGAAGGCCGUAUCCUUGUACAACACCAAGCAAUGGAGUGCCCAACUCAGAUUUCAGUUGCUUGCUAUAAGAAGGAGGGGUCCUCGGCCCGAAUCUCCAUCAGGCUGUGUCCUUGAACCAUAAGCUCCAUCAAAGCCCGUCCAAAUUGCAAUUUUCGACAAAACGUCCAAUGUCGCCACCGAGUUCGUUGGAGGAAGAAGUGCCGAGUUCGCCGGAGGAACAAGAACAUCCGUCCAACCGUCCAAUUUCGCCUGCCUCGGCUACACCAGAGGACAUAGCCACAAGGGAUAUUUCUGAGGGGCUGCGUCUUGAGCAAAUGAUCAUAUCCAAAAUCAUGACACACUGCCCUCUAUAUAGUCACAGCUCUCCAUCCGGCAUGAUUUUUGUCAUUCUAAUGUUGGCAAGUAAUCUUAAGACUUUUUUCCCCGAGUGAUUUGUAACACUAAUUACCCUACACAAUUCGCAGUUUUAGUAUCUCUUAUGCACCUAUAUAUAUAUCUGUAACUGAAAAAAUGUUCAGGUUCCCGCAGGUUCUCUCUAAAUUCUUAGUCUAAAUCCAAGCCGAGAAUAGGUCUGGAAUAGGUCAGUAAAAUCAUGUAUUGCUGCCCUCAUAGCUUAUAUAUAUAUGUAUGUGUGUGAUAUGCACUGCUGUCUUUUAAAUCAUGUUGCCUUGUCCUAGACCUACCUAUAUGUGAAUCCAUACUACUGCUAGCUUCUUGUCAAUGUGCUGAUAUUUAUCCUUGUCUUCUUUCCUUUUUGUGCGCUUCUUUUUAUUACUCAAAUAAAUCUGUAAUUUAGACAGGCUAACAUAAAUAUCUCAAGCUUUUUGUGUGUUCAGAGAUUUAUUUAGAGAUGAUAAAAUAAAGAUCUUGAUGUAUCGACGGUUUGUGGUCUUGGGCUGUUCUGUUACAGUUCAAGAUACUCAAUUUCCUCCUGCUGGUAUCAUCGUCUCCCUGUAAUGUGAUGUAGCACAGUACUAUGCACUUCAGCACUAAGCCCAGAACCUAGCUAGCUUACUUGAGGGUCGGCUCCGGAUUUUGUCGAUCUUGUUUGUGUAUAAUUUGUGAGGGGCUGUAGAGAGUCAAUCAACCAGUCAAUUAAUAUGAACCUGUUUUUCUCAACGGUCCUCUGAACAUACUCGCUAUAAGAACACUAAUUACAAGAAUAUGAGGAUGCUAGGUGUUUAAGAUAUUUGAAUUUCCCUUCGGAGUGGACCUGGGAUAGUUCUAACAGAGUAUGGACUAGAAGCAGAGGAAACAAAAAUUAGGCGGUCGAAUUGGUUGUAUCUACCAUGUACGUCUGGUGAGCUUUUUUCCCAUCGGAUGUUACUCACGGUAGUCACAGGUAACCUUGCUUUGAGGAUGUGAGAUGUUAUAAUGGUGUCCUUUAUGGCACAAGCCCGAGGCUUAGUCAGGGAUGAUAAUGAAUGGUUCAAGAUUUUCGAAGUAGCUAUUGUAUGGGUUACUCCUUUUCAGUUACGGCAUCUCUUUAUGACAAUUUUGUUGCACUAUGAAAUUACAAGGUAUUGGCCCAGCAAGGCAGAAUAUAUAUCUUCCUCAUUUUACAACACAUAUCUUCCCUAAUAUAAUUUUAAUUAGUUGGGAUUCUUACAGUGGUAAUCUUCCUCAUUUUGCAACAUAGGUCUUUUUACCUCUUCUAUUUUGUAUCACAUUCUAUUAAAUAAUUGGAAUUAUUAUUUGUUGCAAGAGAACCUGUUGCGGACGAAGUGCAGAUGUUCAAAGUUUCAGUACAGCAGCUUCAUUUCGGUUGCAAAGUUUGCUUAAGUAACUUUUGGUUAGAAUUGUCAAAUAGUUCAUCGUCUCUCAGCGCUGCGUAAAAAAUUCAGGUUAUGGAUUUUGGUGACUCUCUUUCUUAUUCUCGUGGCUGUUUGCUUAAUUUGUUUGGAUGGUCUCUUUACACGACUUUCAGGUUGAGCCCAUUUGCACCGGUCAAUCUAUAGACAUAUAUGUGGCUGGCUACACCUAUCCAUCUACUACCACAGUUACCGUCUUACUAUCUGUAUUAGCCAAGUUGUUCCAGGUAUUUCUAACUCUUUCAUGGAUACCUUCUAUGAACCAGAGCACACUGUUCUGUGCUCCGAGCAAGCGCCACUGAUGCUACAAUAGAUCAAAGUUCUGAAAUUGUGAGCAUUCAUAUACAGUCUUUGGAUCAAAUAACAAAGGCAUCACACAUAAUUACAAGGACCAUAAUGGAACCCAAUAAUGACUUCCACAAGAAUGUAUUCAUGGGCCACGCACAUCAGCAUACAAGACUGCAAUGUGGCACUAUCCUUUUAUCAUUGAGCCACUUUCUCUAAUCUUCAGGCAAGCACCCGAAGCAAUUAUUGCCGCCAUAAACGAGAGAUGCGGCACACAUGUAGAUCCACACGUACACAGAAUGAAUGACCGAAGAAAAGUUGGUUCUCUCUCUAUUCCCGACCAAUUUAUUUAUCUUAUUUUUAUUUGCUUCUAUUUCCAAGUUCCUAAAACUGUAAUGCAAGUCCUUGAGUUUUUGUCAUGUACAUGAAUUGAUCAUAUUUACGUUGUCAGUGUGAACAUACAAUAUUACCCACAUAAAGUCGGAA